UCUUUGGUUAUCUAGCUGUAUGAGUGGUGUCGAGUCUUCAUAAAGCUAGAUAACCGAAAGUA
ensembl:miRNA microRNA 9-1